AUCAUUAUUGAAGAUAAGCUGGAGCUGGUGGCUCCAUUCUUGCUUAUAAAUAGGCACCAAGAGAGCAGCACAAGAGAGAGAGAGAGACGGGAGAAAGAAGAAGAAGAGAAAUGAGAGAAA